UAUAGAUAAUACAAAGUUAUUCAGUGGCCGCAGUAUAAAAGCAAUUUUUACAUGUUAUCUGUUCAUUUUGUUGUUCACAAUGGCCCAAGUCGUAAAAGUUGUAAUUCUUCUUGUCUUGCUGAUGACAGUCAUCGACACCAGCGAAGGAGCUCCAUUUUUCAUUGGAAAACUAAUUGUUAAGAAAGCGCUAAAAAAGAUGGGUUUAACAAAAAAAGCAAAACAUGGCAAAUUUGGACUGUUGAAAAGUUCAUACUUUGGUGAGGAUGGACAGUUUCAAUCGCUGCAGCAUUGAAACUCCAGCUUAAAGUCUUAGUUUACGUUUUGAGGGCUCUGUGUAUGUAGGUUUAUUAGGUGUUUGCAAAAUAACUGUUUAAAAAACCUUUAAAAUAAAUCGAUAUCACAAAAA